rnacentral:rRNA from 1 species
GAUGAACGCUAGCGGGAGGCUUAACACAUGCAAGUCGAGGGGCAGCAUAGGGUAGCAAUACUCUGAUGGCGACCGGCAAACGGGUGAGUAACACGUAUGCAACCUACCCUGUACAGGGGGAUAACCCGGAGAAAUUCGGACUAAUAUCCCGUAAUAAUAUCCGGAGGCAUCUUUGGAUAUUUAAAGUUUCGACGGUACGGGAUGGGCAUGCGUAACAUUAGCUGGUUGGUAAGGUAACGGCUUACCAAGGCUAUGAUGUUUAGGGGUCCUGAGAGGGUGGUCCCCCACACUGGUACUGAGACACGGACCAGACUCCUACGGGAGGCAGCAGUGAGGAAUAUUGGUCAAUGGGCGCAAGCCUGAACCAGCCAUCCCGCGUGCAGGAAGACGGCCCUAUGGGUUGUAAACUGCUUUUCCAGGGAGAGAAACUUACGCACGUGUUGCGUGACUGACGGUACCCUGGGAAUAAGCAUCGGCUAACUCCGUG